rnacentral:rRNA from 1 species
UGCCAGCAGCCGCGGUAAUACGGAGGAUCCAAGCGUUAUCCGGAUUUAUUGGGUUUAAAGGGUCCGUAGGCGGGACAUUAAGUCAGUGGUGAAAGCCUUCAGCUUAACUGGAGAAUUGCCAUUGAUACUGAUGUUCUUGAGUACACCUGAAGUGGGCGGAAUGUGUCAUGUAGCGGUGAAAUGCAUAGAUAUGACACAGAACACCGAUUGCGAAGGCAGCUCACUAAAGUGUAACUGACGCUGAGGGACGAAAGCGUGGGGAGCGAACAGGAUUAGAUA